UGCAUGUCUCAGUGCAAGCUAAAUUAAAGUGAAACCGCAAAUGGCUCAUUAAAUCAGUUAUGGUUCAUUAGAUGAUACAUCAUUUUACUUGGAUAACUGUGGUAAUUCUAGAGCUAAUACAUGCAAAUUGAAUUCCCACCGGUGACGGUAGGAACGCUUUUAUUAGAUCAAAACUAAUACGUUUGCUUCGGCAAUCGAUACGAAUGGUGAUUCUGAAUAACUUUUUGAUGAUCGUACGAUCCUUGAAUCGACGACAAAUCUUUCAAAUGUCUGCCUUAUCAACUGUCGAUGGUAGGCUCUGCGCCUACCAUGGUUGUAACGGGUAACGGGGAAUCAGGGUUCGAUUCCGGAGAGGGAGCCUGAGAAACGGCUACCACAUCCAAGGAAGGCAGCAGGCGCGUAAAUUACCCAUUUCCGGCACGGAGAGGUAGUGACGAAAAAUAACGAUACGGGACUCAUCCGAGGCCCCGUAAUCGGAAUGAGCACACUUUAAAUACUUUAACAAGUAUCCAUUGGAGGGCAAGUCUGGUGCCAGCAGCUGCGGAAAUUCCAGCUCCAAUAGCGUAUAUUAAAAUUGUUGCGGUUAAAAAGCUCGUAGUUGAGUGUGUGUCCCGCACUGUCGGUGCGCCAUUUAUGGUGUUUUUACUGACAUGUUGCGAGACGUC
rnacentral:rRNA from 1 species